ACCUUCAUUUUAAUGGUUCCUAAACUAACUUUGUAAAAAUACUGAGAAUACUAGUAUGGCCCCUGUUUAAUGAAGAAAAGCAAAUUCUUAUAAGUGUUAAUAUUUUUU